rnacentral:tRNA from 3 species
GCGGGGGUUGUAGAGCCUGGCCAAAUACGCGGGACUUAAGAUCCCGUCUCUCAGGGGUCCGUGGGUUCAAAUCCCACCCCCCGCA